rnacentral:rRNA from 1 species
AAGGGUGAGUAAUGCGAAGGUAACCAACCCUGGAGUUGGGCAUAGCCGCGGGAAACUGCGGGUAAUUCCCAGCGAUGUCGCGAGAUGGCAUCAUCUUGCGACCAAAGGUGUGAUUCCGCUCUAGGACGGGCCUUCGUGGUAUUAGGUAGUUGGUGAGGUAACGGCUCACCAAGCCGACGAUGCCUACCGGGUGUGAGAGCAUGACCCGGCACACUGGAACUGAGACACUGUCCAGACACCUACGGGUGGCUGCAGUCGAGAAUCUUCGGCAAUGGGCGAAAGCCUGACCGAGCGACGCCGCGUGAGGGAAGAAGGCCUUCGGGUUGUAAACCUCUUUCGUAGAGGAGGAAGGGGCCGUGCAGAGCGGUCUUUGACCUAUUCUAGGAAGAAGCUUGGGCUAAGUUCGUGCCAGCAGCCGCGGUAAGACGAACCAAGCGAACGUUAUUCGGAAUUACUGGGCUUAAAGCGCGUGUAGGCGGAUGACCACGUCAGUCGUUGAAAUCCCCCGGCUCAACCGGGGAACAGGCGCUGAUACGAGUUGUCUGGAGGUGGGUAGGGGAGACUGGAACUUCCGGUGGAGCGGUGAAAUGCGUU